rnacentral:rRNA from 1 species
GGCUCAGAUUGAACGCUGGCGGCAGGCCUAACACAUGCAAGUCGAACGGUAACAGGAAGCAGCUUGCUGCUUCGCUGACGAGUGGCGGACGGGUGAGUAAUGUCUGGGAAACUGCCUGAUGGAGGGGGAUAACUACUGGAAACGGUAGCUAAUACCGCAUAACGUCGCAAGACCAAAGAGGGGGACCUUCGGGCCUCUUGCCAUCGGAUGUGCCCAGAUGGGAUUAGCUAGUAGGUGGGGUAACGGCUCACCUAGGCGACGAUCCCUAGCUGGUCUGAGAGGAUGACCAGCCACACUGGAACUGAGACACGGUCCAGACUCCUACGGGAGGCAGCAGUGGGGAAUAUUGCACAAUGGGCGCAAGCCUGAUGCAGCCAUGCCGCGUGUAUGAAGAAGGCCUUCGGGUUGUAAAGUACUUUCAGCGGGGAGGAAGGCGACAGGGUUAAUAACCCUGUCGAUUGACGUUACCCGCAGAAGAAGCACCGGCUAACUCCGUGCCAGCAGCCGCGGUAAUACGGAGGGUGCAAGCGUUAAUCGGAAUUACUGGGCGUAAAGCGCACGCAGGCGGUCUGUCAAGUCGGAUGUGAAAUCCCCGGGCUCAACCUGGGAACUGCAUUCGAAACUGGCAGGCUAGAGUCUUGUAGAGGGGGGUAGAAUUCCAGGUGUAGCGGUGAAAUGCGUAGAGAUCUGGAGGAAUACCGGUGGCGAAGGCGGCCCCCUGGACAAAGACUGACGC